rnacentral:rRNA from 1 species
UCGGAUGCUCCGACUGCUGCAGCUGAUCAGCCAUGCCGCGUGCUAGUGAAGAAGGCCUUCGGGUUGUAAAGCGCUUUCGGUCGGGAGGAAGCGGUUUGUGUUAAUACCCCUCAGCGUUGACGGUACCUACAUAAUAAGCACCAGCUAACUCUGUGCCAGCAGCCGCGGUAAUAGG